ACUGUCACUCUUGCGUGAUAUUGAUAGUCCACAACAAACUGCCUACAAGCAGGAAUUAAUGGAACGCAUAGAGAAUUUGACAGAACUUUGGAACACUUGCUUUCCACCGACUCCAUCGACAUCCA
rnacentral:ribozyme from 1 species